rnacentral:rRNA from 1 species
UACGUAGGGUGCGAGCGUUGUCCGGAAUUACUGGGCGUAAAGAGCUCGUAGGUGGUUUGUCGCGUUGUUCGUGAAAACUCACAGCUCAACUGUGGGCGUGCGGGCGAUACGGGCAGACUGGAGUACUGCAGGGGAGACUGGAAUUCCUGGUGUAGCGGUGGAAUGCGCAGAUAUCAGGAGGAACACCGGUGGCGAAGGCGGGUCUCUGGGCAAUUCCUGACGCUGAGGCGCGAAAGCGUGGGGAGCAAACGGG